rnacentral:rRNA from 1 species
UACGAGGGGGGCGAGCGUUGUCCGGAAUUAUUGGGCGUAAAGAGCUCGUAGGCGGCCUGUUGCGUCCGCUGUGAAAGCCCGGGGCUUAACCCCGGGUCGGCAGUGGAUACGGGCAGACUAGAGUGAUGUAGGGGAGACUGGAAUUCCUGGUGUAGCGGUGAAAUGCGCAGAUAUCAGGAGGAACACCGAUGGCGAAGGCAGGUCUCUGGGCAUUAACUGACGCUGAGGAGCGAAAGCAUGGGGAGCGAACAGG